UACGUAGGUGGCAAGCGUUGUCCGGAUUUACUGGGCGUAAAGGGAGCGUAGGCGGAUAUUUAAGUGGGAUGUGAAAUACCUGGGCUUAACUUGGGUGCUGCAUUCCAAACUGGAUAUCUGGAGUGUUGGAGAGGAAAGUGGAAUUCCUAGUGUAGCGGUGAAAUGCGUAGAGAUUAGGAAGAACACCAGUGGCGAAGGCGACUUUCUGGACAAUAACUGACGCUGAGGCUCGAAAGCGUGGGGAGCAAACAGG
rnacentral:rRNA from 1 species